UACGUAGGCAGCGAGCGUUGUUCGGAGUUACUGGGCGUAAAGAGUGCGUAGGCGGUUUUCUAAGUUUGGUGUGAAAUCUCCCGGCUUAACUGGGAGGGUGCGCCGAAAACUGGAAAGCUGGAGUGCGGGAGAGGGAUGUGGAAUUCCAGGUGUAGCGGUGAAAUGCGUAGAUAUCUGGAGGAACACCGGUGGCGAAGGCGGCAUCCUGGACCGACACUGACGCUGAGGCGCGAAAGCUAGGGUAGCAAACGGG
rnacentral:rRNA from 1 species